AGGCACAGCUGUCCUUCACUCGCACGGAGCAACCUCAGGACAGAUGGUGGGAGAGGAAGGGCAACUCCAGGAGGCACAUUUUAGGAAACUGCCCAUUGAGCCAGCUUCGAUCCUCCAAACCUCGUCAGCAUGCACAGGCUCCCUGACUCGGCAGCAAGGACGGCCUCACCAGCUGACCCCCAUGCCCGGCACCCCCUUCACCACAGGGUCCUGAAAACUCCAGAGAGCAGUGCCCUGUGCAUUAAACACAGACUGCACCCUUGUACUCAGGUACGACCAUUUGUCCUGGACAAAAAUUAAACUGAUGAGGGAACAAAAUAGGGCCUUAUAGAAGGUGAGUGGAAAAGCAGGGAAGGCAAACCCCCAAAUUCAGGAGGGAGGAUGGAAAUGGCCUGGGGAGCAGAGGCAGGAGGUUUUGUGGACAGGGCUGAUGGAGCUCUGCGGGGAGAAGAGGCAGGAGAUUGGUUUUGUGGACAGGGCUGGUGGAGCUCUGGGGGAGAAGAGGCAGGA
rnacentral:sRNA from 1 species